ACUGCUCAGUAACACGUAGCUAAUCUACCCUUAAGUCAAGGAUAACCUCGGGAAACUGAGGGUAAACCUCGAUAGGAGACAUACCCUGGAAUGAUUUGUCUCUCAAACUCGUGCUUAAGGAUGAGGCUGCGGCGGAUUAGGUUGUUGGCGGGGUAAAGGCCCACCAAGCCGAAGAUCCGUAAGGGCUCUUAGCGGAGAGGCCCUGAGAAGGAAUCUGAGACACUAUUCCCAGCUCUACGGAGUGCAGCAGCUAAGAAUCUUCUACAAUGCACGCAAGUGUGAUAGAGCGAGCCAAAGUGCUUUCCUUUUUGGAAAGCUUUUGCUAAAUUUAAAAAAUUUGGCGAAUAAGGACUGGGUAAGACGAGUGCCAGCCGCCGCGGUAAUACUCGCGGUCCAAGUCGCAGCCAUUUUUAUUGGGUCUAAAACAUCCGUAGCUUGCUUAGUAAGUUUCUUGUGAAAUCUUAUCUCUCAAAGGUAGGGCGGGCAAGAAGUACUGCUAAGCUAGAGACUGGAAGACGUAAGAAGUACGUUCAAAGUAGCGGUUAAAUGUGUUAAUCUUGAGCGGACUCACAAGAGCGAAGGCAUCCUACGAGGACAGUUCUGACAGUAAGGGAUGAAGGCUAGGGGCGCAAAACGGAUUAGAUACCCGUGUAGUCCUAGCAGUGAACACUGCACACUAAACAUUAGUACCUCCUCGAGAGGUAUUAGUGCUGAAGGGAAGCCGAGAGUGUGCUACCUGGGAAGUAUAGUCGCAAGGCUGAAACUUAAAGGAAUUGGCGGGGGAGCAC
rnacentral:rRNA from 1 species